rnacentral:rRNA from 1 species
AGAGCGAACGCUGGCGGCAGGCCUAAUACAUGCAAGUCGAACGGACCCUUCGGGGUUAGUGGCGGACGGGUGAGUAACACGUGGGAACGUGCCCUUUGGUUCGGAACAACUCAGGGAAACUUGAGCUAAUACCGAAUGUGCCCUUUGGGGGAAAGAUUUAUCGCCAUUGGAGCGGCCCGCGUCUGAUUAGCUAGUUGGUGAGGUAAAGGCUCACCAAGGCGACGAUCAGUAGCUGGUCUGAGAGGAUGAUCAGCCACACUGGGACUGAGACACGGCCCAGACUCCUACGGGAGGCAGCAGUAGGGAAUCUUGCGCAAUGGGCGAAAGCCUGACGCAGCCAUGCCGCGUGAAUGAUGAAGGUCUUAGGAUUGUAAAAUUCUUUCAGCGGGGACGAUAAUGACGGUACCCGCAGAAGAACGCCCCGGCUAACUUCGCGCCAGCAGCCGC